rnacentral:rRNA from 1 species
UACGAAGGGAGCGAGCGUUGUUCGGAAUUACUGGGCGUAAAGCGUGCGUAGGCGGUUUUGUAAGUCAGAAGUGAAAGCCUGGGGCUCAACCUCAGAAUUGCUUUUGAGACUGCAGAGCUAGAAUCCUGGAGAGGUUAGUGGAAUUCCGAGUGUAGAGGUGAAAUUCGCAGAUAUUCGGAGGAACACCAGUGGCGAAGGCGACUAACUGGACAGGCAUUGACGCUGAGGCACGAAAGCGUGGGGAUCAAACAGG